ACGUUGAAAAGUGCGGGGAUGAGGUGUGGGUAGGGGUGAAAUGCCAAUCGAACCUGGAGAUAGCUGGUUCUCUCCGAAAUAGCUUUAGGGCUAGCCUCAAGGUAAGAGUCUUGGAGGUAGAGCACUGAUUGGACUAGGGGCCCCUACCGGGUUACCGAAUUCAGUCAAACUCCGAAUGCCAAAGACUUAUCCUUGGGAGUCAGACUGCGAGUGAUAAGAUCCGUAGUCGAAAGGGAAACAGCCCAGACCGCCAGCUAAGGUCCCAAAGUAUACGUUAAGUGGAAAA
rnacentral:rRNA from 16 species